UACGUAGGGUGCGAGCGUUAAUCGGAAUUACUGGGCGUAAAGCGUGCGCAGGCGGUUUUGUAAGCCCGAUGUGAAAUCCCCGGGCUUAACCUGGGAAUGGCAUUUGGGACUGCAAGGCUGGAGUGCGGCAGAGGAGACUGGAAUUCCUGGUGUAGCAGUGAAAUGCGUAGAUAUCAGGAGGAACACCGGUGGCGAAGGCGGGUCUCUGGGCCGAUACUGACGCUGAGGAGCGAAAGCGUGGGGAGCGAACAGG
rnacentral:rRNA from 1 species